rfam:Jannaschia donghaensis strain CECT 7802 genome assembly, contig: 0003
CGCGGGAUGGAGCAGCUCGGUAGCUCGUCAGGCUCAUAACCUGAAGGUCGUAGGUUCAAAUCCUACUCCCGCAA